UACGGAGGGUGCAAACGUUGCUCGGAAUCAUUGGGCGUAAAGCGCACGUAGGCGGCGCGUUAAGUCGGAUGUGAAAGCCCCGGGCUCAACCCGGGAAGUGCAUUGGAAACUGGCGAACUUGAGUACGGGAGAGGGCAGUGGAAUUCCUAGUGUAGGAGUGAAAUCCGUAGAUAUUAGGAGGAACACCGGUGGCGAAGGCGGCUGCCUGGACCGAUACUGACGCUGAGACGCGAAAGCGUGGGGAGCAAACAGG
rnacentral:rRNA from 1 species